AUUUCCUCCUCUGUGGAAGCUUCAUCUUCGGAGCCAUUUGCACAAUCAGAGCUAGCAAGGAACUUAGGAGAGCGAAUGUGGGGAGAGAUAAAGGGUUUUUAGGGGAAGGGUAAGGAUUUUGGAGAAGAGGAGUGCCGAUUUGGAGAAGAUGGGUAGAGUCUAGGGCAAGCUCGACUCGCUCCAAAUGAAGAAAGAGAAAAGGGAGGAGCUUGGUUCCAAGAGGGCAAUUUAGAGGAUGAGAGAUGAUGGGAGAAGAGUUUUUUGGGGAAAAACUUGGAUUUGAGGAA
rnacentral:lncRNA from 1 species